UACGUAGGGGGCAAGCGUUGUCCGGAUUUAUUGGGCGUAAAGAGCUCGUAGGCGGCUUGGCAAGUCGGGUGUGAAAACUUCAGGCUCAACCUGGAGCGGCCACUCGAUACUGCCAUGGCUUGAGUCCGGUAGGGGAGUGUGGAAUUCCCGGUGUAGCGGUGAAAUGCGCAGAUAUCGGGAGGAACACCGAUGGCGAAGGCAGCACUCUGGGCCGGCACUGACGCUGAGGAGCGAAAGCGUGGGGAGCGAACAGG
rnacentral:rRNA from 1 species